GUACGGGAGGCAGCAGUGGGGAAUAUUGGGCAAUGGGCGCAAGCCUGACCCAGCCAUGCCGCGUGAGUGAUGAAGGCCUUCGGGUCGUAAAGCUCUGUGGGGAGGGAAGAAACAGCUUGUGGCUAACAUCCACGAGCCCUGACGGUACCUCCUUAGCAAGCACCGGCUAACUCCGUGCCAGCAGCCGCGGUAAUACGGAGGGUGCAAACGUUGCUCGGAAUCAUUGGGCGUAAAGCGCACGUAGGCGGCUUGUUAAGUCGGGUGUGAAAGCCCCGGGCUCAACCCGGGAAGUGCACUCGAAACUGGCGAGCUUGAAUAUGGAAGAGGGUCGCGGAAUUCCCGGUGUAGAGGUGAAAUUCGUAGAUAUCGGGAGGAACACCAGUGGCGAAGGCGGCGACCUGGGCCAAUAUUGACGCUGAGGUGCGAAAGCGUGGGGAGCAAACAGGAUUAGAUACCCCGGU
rnacentral:rRNA from 1 species